rnacentral:rRNA from 1 species
GAUGAACGCUAGCGGCAGGCUUAACACAUGCAAGUCGAGGGGCAGCACGAGUAGCAAUAUUUGGUGGCGACCGGCGCACGGGUGAGUAACGCGUAUGCAAUCUACCUUUAACUGGGGGAUAGCUCCGAGAAAUCGGAAUUAAUACCCCAUAAUAUUAUUGAAAGACAUCUUUUAAUAAUUAAAGUUCCGACGGUUAGAGAUGAGCAUGCGUGCCAUUAGUUUGUUGGUAGGGUAACGGCCUACCAAGACUACGAUGGCUAGGGGGUCUGAGAGGAUGAUCCCCCACACUGGUACUGAGACACGGACCAGACUCCUACGGGAGGCAGCAGUGAGGAAUAUUGGUCAAUGGGCGCAAGCCUGAACCAGCCAUGCCGCGUGAAGGAUGAAUGCCCUAUGGGUUGUAAACUUCUUUUGUACGGGACGAAACCCCUGAACGUGUUCGGGGCUGACGGUACUGUACGAAUAAGCAUCGGCUAACUCCGUGCCAGCCGCCGCAGUAACAC